CUUUCCCGUGCUGUUCUUGGGUUUGUGAAUGGGUCUCAUGAGAUCCAAUGGUUUUAAAAAUAGGAGUUUUCCUGCACAAGCUCUCUCUCUCUUGCCUGCUGCCAUGUGAGACGUGCCUUUCACCUCCCGCCAUGAUCGUGAGGCCUCCCCAGCGAUGUGGAACUGCUGGAGUGCAAUACCGUGAUCUCAGCUCAUUGCAACCACCGCCUCCCGGGUUCAAGUGAUUCCCGUGCCUCAGCCUCUUGAGUAGCUGGGACUACAGGCACGUGUCACCACGCCCGGCUGAUUUUUGUAUUUUUAGUAGAGACGGUGUUUCACCGUGUUAGCCAAGAUGGUCUCUAUCUCCUGACUUCGUGAGCCGCCUGCCUCGGCCUCCCAAAGUGCUGGGAUUACAGGUGUGAGCCACAGCGCAAGGACCAUAAUUUAUUACUUUUCAUGAUUCCUUGGAUCAGGAAUUUGGGCAAGACACAGCUGGAUAGUUCUUUGGCUUCACAGAUGGCGGCUGGAGUCAUUGUGUAGAUGCAUGUAUCUGAGAGCUUGGCUAGGGUUGAGACAUCCGUGAUGGCCUUUAGAUCUCAGAAAACUCUGCCCACGUGAACUCUAAGCAUUUACUAGUUUUUGCUGAACUUCCUUCCAGUAUGUUCACUGAGUCCCAAGAAGAAGCAAAAGAGAGCUGCUAAGUUUCUUAAGCCUGUGUUCGGAAGUCCCAGAACAUCAAUUUUAUCACGUUCUAUUGGUCAAAACACAUCACAAGUCCAGAGCAUAUUCAAGAGGAGGAAAAUACAGUUCAUCUCUGUUAUGAGCAGCUUGCAUGAACAAGAAUGGCAGUAAUAAUUGGUGACCAUAUUUGGGGACUCUUUACCAAAUCAGUUAAAAGAACACUAUGGCACCGGCCAUUUGAGCCCCUCUGCUCCCAAACCACCCCCUGAAAGCUGGAUAGAAAAUGGAAAACCUAUCAGGAGAACACUAUGAGUUUGGUAAUAACAAAGCUACAAGAUAUUACAGAGAGAGAAAGGAGGUCACUACCACCAACAGUGUGGUCCAGGAUGUUUGCUGGUGACAUCAUUGUGGAACAAGAGACAGCAGUGGAUGAUGAAAACAGCUAGACGAAAAUAUUCCAGAGUUGCAGAGAUUGGUUUGAUUUAUAUAUGAGAGCAUUCUCCUCUCUUUCUCUUACUCACAUUUUGGACCUCAGCACAGACUCUUGAAGAGACUUAAGGGUUUCCUUCCUCUAUUUGAAAGAUGAUCAGGGACACCUAGUGAUAUAAGCUGUUAAGGUGACCUUCCUAAGUUGCACCAGCUGCUAAUGUCCAAGGGACAUUUACAUUGCAUAAAAAUUUACUAUUUGCAUAUUCUUACUUCUUAAUUUAAAAGAAAAUUUAUUUAUGUAUUUUUAUAUGUAUACCUAUACAUAUGAAAAUUCUGAAAGAAUAUAUAAAAAAUUUUAAUGGUUACUAUAACUGGGUUAUGAAAUUAAUGAAUGAAUUUGUCUUCU
rnacentral:lncRNA from 1 species